rnacentral:rRNA from 1 species
CACCGGUGAAGAUAAUGACGGUAACCGGAGAAGAACGCCCCGGCUAACUUCGUGCCAGCAGCCGCGGUAAUAGAAGGGGGCUAGCGUUGUUCGGAUUUACUGGGCGUAAAGCGCACGUAGGCGGUACUUUUAAGUCAGGGGUGAAAAUCCCGGGGCUACAACCCCGGAACUGCCUUUGAUACUGGAAGUCUUGAGUAUGGUAGAGGUGAGUGGAAUUCCGAGUGUAGAGGUAGAAAUUCGUAGAUAUUCGGAGGAACACCAGUGGCGAAGGCGGCUCACUGGACCAUUACUGACGCUGAGGUGACGAAAGCGUGGGGAGCAAACAGGAUUAGAUACCCUGGUAG